rnacentral:lncRNA from 1 species
CUCAUGGGAAGUUCUUCUAUGCUAGAGUCUAGCAUUGUUCUUGUGAGUCUUUAGUCAUAUGGAACCAGAGCUAUUGUUGGUUUGGUCAACACAAUUAAGGAUAAAGAAUCAACAGCUGCAUCUUGAACACAAAUUUGGACUAGAUAUAGAUUUUAGAAGUACCAUUCAUAUCUCACAAAUAGUUAGAAAAAACUGUUGCUUAAUCUUGGACAUAUCCCCCCAUAAAUCACCGUUAGGAAAAUCUUUUGUUGUGAAGCAGAACUCUCGUCCCGUGGUAUAUUCUAGAAAAACAGUACAUGUAACAUGGAAAGAUGGCUCUUGUGGAAGAAUUAGAGAAGACAUGUUAGUGAACAGAAUGAAAAGGCUUGCAUUUGUAUCAGCGUGAAUCUCUGAAUAAAGUUCAAGCCCCAUAAAGGCAAGAUCUGUAUAUGCCUGGCCAUCAGCACCUCCCAGCUUUUAUUGGGUCUUA